rnacentral:misc_RNA from 1 species
CGCACAUUGCGCCCUUUGGUAUUCCUUAGGGCAUGCCUGUUCGAGCGUCAUCUAACCCUCAAGCAUUGCUUGGUGUUGGGCGCUUGUCCCGCCUCGGGCGCGGACUCGCCUCAAAAACAUUGGCGGCCUGUGUAUGGGCUUCGAGCGCAGCAGAUUCGCGCCUCGCAACCCAGCGACACGGGCGUCCAUCAAGACGAACCCCAAGUUUGACCUCGGAUCAGGUAGGGAUACCCGCUGAACUUAA